UACGGGGGGGGGCAAGCGUUGUUCGGAAUUACUGGGCGUAAAGGGCUCGUAGGCGGCCAACUAAGUCAGACGUGAAAUCCCUCGGCUUAACCGGGGAACUGCGUCUGAUACUGGAUGGCUUGAGGUUGGGAGAGGGAUGCGGAAUUCCAGGUGUAGCGGUGAAAUGCGUAGAUAUCAGGAGGAACACCGGUGGCGAAGGCGCCACUCUGGGCCGAAACUGACGCUGAGGAGCGAAAGCGUGGGGAGCAAACAGG
rnacentral:rRNA from 1 species